UACGUAGGGUGCAGGCGUUAUUCGGAAUUACUGGGCGUAAAGCGUGCGCAGGCGGUUUGUUAAGACAGAUGUGAAAUCCCCGGGCUUAACCUGGGAACUGCGUUUGUAACUGGCAAGCUAGAGUGUGGCAGAGGGGAGUGGAAUUCCAAGUGUAGCAGUGAAAUGCGUAGAUAUUUGGAGGAACACCAAUGGCGAAGGCAGCCCCCUGGGUUAACACUGACGCUCAUGCACGAAAGCGUGGGGAGCAAACAGG
rnacentral:rRNA from 1 species